rnacentral:rRNA from 1 species
CGGAGGGGGCGAGCGUUAUUCGGAAUUAUUGGGCGUAAAGGGCGCGUAGGCGGCUUGACAAGUCAAAGGUGAAAUCCCUCGGCUUAACUGAGGAACUGCCUUUGAAACUGUCUGGCUUGAGGCCGGUAGAGGGUAGUGGAAUUCCCAGUGUAGCGGUGAAAUGCGUAGAUACUGGGAGGAACACCGGUGGCGAAGGCGGCUACCUGGACCGGUUCUGACGCUGAGGCGCGAAAGCGUGGGUAGCAAACAGGAUUAGAUACCCUGGUAGUCCACGCUGUAAACGAUGGGUGCUCGGUGUCGCGGGUAUCGACCCCUGCGGUGCCUUAGCUAACGCGUUAAGCACCCCGCCUGGGGAGUACGGUCGCAAGGCUG